GCAUGGCGUAGCUCGGUUGGUUAGAGCAUGCGGCUAUUAACCACAAGGUCGAAUGUUUGAUCCUUCCUAUAGCA
rnacentral:tRNA from 1 species